rnacentral:rRNA from 1 species
UACGGGGGGUGCGAGCGUUGUCCGGAAUCACUGGGCGUAAAGGGCGCGUAGGUGGUCUGAUAAGGGUGUGGUGAAAGCCCGGGGCUCAACCCCGGGUCGGCCGUGCCGACUGCUAGACUAGAGUGCUGUAGGGGCAGGCGGAAUUCCGGGUGUAGCGGUGGAAUGCGUAGAUAUCCGGAGGAACACCGGUGGCGAAGGCGGCUUCCUGGACCGACACUGACGCUGAGGCGCGAAAGCUAGGGGAGCAAACGGG